rnacentral:tRNA from 1 species
GCAGUGGCUGAAAGGUAAAGCUCUCGGCUUCCAAACCUGAGGUCCUGGGUUCGAAUCUCAGUAAAUGCU